GGUGGGUGGGGAAGGGCGCGCUCGGUCCGGGCCAUUUCUCAACUGUCGGAUUGGCCAACCCCCCUGAAGCUUAACGACACUGAGUUGGCCGGCGAGGCCGUGAAGAAACAGGCACUCGCUGGCGCACACCGCUGCCCGUGGAAACCCAAAAAUCCGGAGAAAAUGGAAUCCCAUCUGAGGAUGCACUGGUCCUGCAACUGGUCUCUGCAAAGGGACAAGAGAAAUUGGUAGAGAUGCUAAAGAGCCAGCACACGAUUUGCAGGAGAAACUUACAAAACAACAAUAAAUAUCGAUUAUCCAGUGAGGAGCUAUUCUACACCAGUGGAAGAAAAUGCAAGAGCAAAUGAAUCUGAUGAGUGUGUAUAGAAGAAUCAGUCAGAUGGCUCAGGAAUGUGCCACCAGCGUAUCUCUUUUAUGGAUUGCCUCCUAACUUCAUUGAGGAAUAGAGAACUUUUGAUUGACAACUUUUGGAUUGUCCUUUAAAGAGCACUGUAUGUUUACAUAUUGUGAUAUCAGCAUGUAAAAGAACUAUGUUUUGAAAUAUAUUUGCGGCAUUGUGAGUUGAUUGAGUUCCAUAAAAAGAUGACCGAGACUGUCUUUUUAAAAUAUACAUGGAACUCAGUCUUACUUGUAAUCUUAUUUCUUGUGGGUUGGAGUUAGAAUUGGGUUAAUUAUAAACUCAAAUUUUCACUAGUUAUUAUAAUAAGUUCAGGACCUUCUUAUAUUUAUUUGGACAACAAAGCAUGUUACUAAAUUACUGCUAUGGAAAUUUUGUAGAUCUAAUUUUAAAUUAAGUGAAUACACACCUGUUUGCGUUUAAAUAAAGCUCAUAA